GUUAGUGUGGCAGAGAUAGGUCAUGCAAAAGGUCUAAGCCCUUUCAACUUGGGUUCAAAUCCCCUCGCUAACU
rnacentral:tRNA from 1 species